CAAAAAUCCGUCUAAGCUGACUAUCACAACGCUAAGGCAACGGUUAAAAUUGGUGAUGCUGAUUCAGAUGUUUUAACUGCAUUAGUUUUAAAAGUUACUCUUGACCCGCGACGUAACUUUCUGGCUAUUCGUUCUUACGCUUGCUGAAGAGAGAUGGAGAGAACAACUUUGAGGGAGAGAGCAGUCGAGCAGGAGUUUUCAUUAGAGGUGGAGAAACAUUGAUGCAUCGAUGUAUUUUAAUUUUUUGGAAACAUCGAUGUUUUGUGGCGGCUAUCGAUGUAGCGACCAUUCAAACAGGCACCCGGUAUUGCAAAAGCAGCUGUUCAAAAGAUGAAAAAAAUAACACAAAAUUAAAUUUUUCCCGUCAAUAAAAUGGAUAACGCAAAUUCCCGUUAA